rnacentral:lncRNA from 1 species
CUAUGUCUACUCUUAUACAUUAAUAAACGAGAUAUAUGUAAGAUCCUAGAGCAACAUUAGUGGUAAAUCUCUCACACUCAAGUCUCUUAACGUUUUUUAUUAAUACUAGAUCCUUUCUCUGCGCUACGCGCGGUUAAUAUAUUUAAAUUUGUUACAUUUAUCAUUUUUAUUUGUAUGUGAAUUUUUGUAUAUUAAAUUUUAUAUAACUAAUUUUUAAUUUUUUUUUCUAUUUUUAGUUUGAAUUAAGUAUUUCUAUUAUAUGUAACACAAUUAACUAAUAAAAUAUGAAGAAUCAAAUCCGAGAUUUUAUAAGAGUUAUGUAAAAAAAAAUAUAAUUAUGUAUAGAACAUAAAUUAUCUUAGUUUAAAAGAUCAAAAUCACAUCUCGAAUAAAUUCACGAAAAGAAAAAGUACUACAAUAACCUACUUAAAAUAUAAAACCCCUUUUAAAAAAAAGCGUACUUAAUAAUAUUUUUUUACGUAUAAUAGUUGAAAACCGAUAACUGAAUAUCGAUCUAGAAUAUUAUUUUAAUAUAUCUAAUGGUAAAAUAUUAAUUGUAAUAAACAAAUUUUGAAUUUUGUAAUAUUACAUGAAUUAGAAGUAUUUAAAAUCGAAAAUCUAUUUUAUUCACAUAAUAUAUGUUUUAUUCAUUUAUUAUUUUGAUGUUACAAAAUAUUGCUUUAGUUUAAUUUGUAUAUUAUUUUUUUAAUAAUUUAGUUUAUUUUUAAGUAAUUUUAAAAUGAUCAAGAGUAUAAUAUAAUUAAAAUUAUUUAUUUAAAUAUAUCCAAAUAUGAUUUCUCAUUUUUAUGUGUGUUUGCGUUUAGCAUAUUUAAUUUUUAGUUUGUAUAUUUAAUAACACCUUGUUGCGUGCCGUUCUAUGGUUUUAAUAAAUGUGUUAUCAUUUCAUUUUUAUUACUACUACCAUGAUUUUUUAGUGAUCAGUGAUAAUAUAUUUUUAACGUUAUGUAUUAUAUUUUAUCGUAUAUUUUCUAACUUUUCAUGCUAGCACUUUUUUUAGAAUAAUUUUAAUUGGAUGAUGGGUUUAAAGAUGUAAAUAAAACUGUGUAUUUUGUAAAUUUAGACUUUUCAGUGUAACUAAGCACUAUCAAUUAUGGAAAUUAUAUUAUGAUUUCAUUUUAUUAAAUCUUUCUUUCUCUGUAUAUUUUUUGUUUUAUUUUGUAUUUUUACAAUUUUAUUGCGUUAUUAUUUAAUUUCAGAGAAUUGCUAUUUCCAAAUUUUGUUUCAUAUUCCUUAAAAGUCUUCGGUUGAUUUUGUUUGUUUUCUUUCUCCAAUUACAAUGUACAGUUCGACCGUUUUUUUUUUUUUUUUUGGAUCAAGCUACUAAUAUCAUCAGAUAGAAAAACUUAAACUCAAAGAAUGGAGUGAGUAUUUGUGCUAGAGAAAAUUGAUUUUUUUGACAACUUAUUCUUUUUUUUUACAACGAGAAAAUUGAUUUAGCCACUAAUAUAGUGAGAUAUUAUAAUAUUAGAAGGUAUGAAAACCCUUCUUUGUUGUCCUACGCUGAAUAUAAUUAGGUUGUUGUCAGUUGAUUCUAUAUUUGUGAUAACUGAAAAUAUAUAUUUAUGUCUUUCUUACAUCUUCCUUAAUUGGUUUACGGUUCGACCAUUUCUAAUAUACUGAGAGUAACAUAAUAUUAGAUGUUGAUUAUCUCCUUGCAAUUAAGAAUGCACAGAAUGAGAGAAAUUCAAGGUGAGACCACUUUACUAUUUUUUCUCAUAUCUAUAUAGAGUUAGUUUAUAAAUUACUCUAUCUGUUUCAAAAUGUAAUCAGUUUUAGUUAAAAUCUUUACUAUUGAAAAGUUAUUACUUUAGAAAACUGUCAUUUAAUAUAUAAAUUUAAUCAAUUAUACAAUAAUUUACAUAAUUUAAUUGGCCAUACAAUAUCCAAUAAAUAUAAAGUUAUAUUGAAAUAUAAAAAUACUUUAAAACAUUAUAUUAUAAAACAAAGGGAAUAUUCAAAUUAUAUUGAAACAUUAGAAUAGUAAGAAUCGGAAAAGCUGAAAUCUUAACGUCGAUCAUUUACGUCGGCCAUGCCUUAGACCAUCUCUAAUGUAUUCCUCUAUUUUUUUCACUAAAAUACAGGAAUUUCAUAACAGAGAUGGCUUUGCCUCCGAUGUAUUUUUCUAUCUUCUUUCCUAAAAAAAAUAUUCUUGAUAUAUUCUUUUCUAAGUUUACAAAUAAUAUUUUUUAUUUGUUAAAGUUGAAAACCAGCCUAAUUUAUUUUAGUAUUUUAUAAUAUUAUGAUAUUAUUUGCACUAAAUAUUUCUUUACAAACUAUUAUGUAAAUAAAAAAAUAUAAUUAUAUUUAUAAAAUUAUAGAUUUCACAAAAAAAAUAUUUUCGGUUAUAAUUGUUGAAGUAAAAAGUUAAAGGAUCAUUUUGUAAAAACUAAUCAAGGAGGUGACAUGGCAAAAAUAUAAUUUAUCAUUGGCCGAUUAUAUUGCCUACGUGGACACUUUAUAUGAGGCUUAU